CCUGCACAAAGUUGAACACUGCUAUAUAUUUUCAUUUUCUCAACACAGAAAUAGUAACUUGUAUUAAAUUCUACAGGCAAAGACUGAAAGCGGAAAAUACACAAUAGAGUAAUAGUAAUGAAUUGUCUACUUUGCUACUUCGGUGAGAUUUUGCUACGAACUUGACAUGAAAACGCCCUAUUGGGCUUUUAAUAAGUAGAUCUUCCAUUAUCCUGUCGCAUUUGACUGCCCUGCCACAUUAAAACCCUCCAACAAGAAGCAAAAGUUGAAUUUAUUGUUAGAUUUGAUAAAAGGGUUGUUCAAUAGAAGAGCUAAAGUCAUCUGCGACAGGCAAAUGGAAGAUCUGAACAUCGAAAGCGUCGGAGCGAUCGGAGAAAACUGAGAUGUUC
rnacentral:lncRNA from 1 species